rnacentral:rRNA from 1 species
UACAGGGGGUGCAAACGUUGCUCGGAAUCAUUGGGCGUAAAGCGCACGUAGGCGGUCUGUUAUGUCGGAUGUGAAAGCCCUUGGCUCAACUGAGGAAGUGCAUCCGAAACUGGCAGGCUAGAGUACUAAAGAGGGUCGCGGAAUUCCCGGUGUAGAGGUGAAAUUCGUAGAUAUCGGGAGGAACACCGGUGGCGAAGGCGGCUUCCUGGACCGACACUGACGCUGAGGCGCGAAAGCUAGGGGAGCAAACGGG